CCGGUUGCUGAAUGGGGCCGGCACGGUCCAGGGGGCGCCAGCUCUUUGGCGUCGCUCGUACUAUGUUGCUCUAUGGAGGAUGUAGCUAUGAGAA
rnacentral:sRNA from 1 species